rnacentral:tRNA from 1 species
GUCUCUGUAGCGCAAUGAAUAGCGCGUUGGACUUCUAAUCCAAAGGUCGUGGAUUCGAAAUUCCCCUGUGAUG